rnacentral:rRNA from 1 species
GACAGAGGUCCCGAGCGUUAGGCGGAAUCACUGGGCUUAAAGCGUGUGUAGGCGGCGGCCUAAGUACCUUGUGAAAUCCCACGGCUCACCCGUGGAACUGCUCGGUAUACUGGGUCGCUUGAGCCACUUAGGGGCUACCGGAACAAAUGGUGGAGCGGUGAAAUGCGUAGAUAUCGGAAGGAACGCCGGUGGCGAAAGCGACGUGCUGGACCCUUUCUGACGCUGAGGCGCGAAAGCCAGGGGAGCAAACGGG